UGAUCUGCCUCCGGGGUUCCAGAUAAGAACAAAUGCAGGUAAGAUAACCCCAGAGCUGGGGUCACCUGAACUGCAGGACCAUGAGAGUUGGAGUGGGGCUGGUGUGCUAUAAGAGGGCCACUCUGCACAGGGCUGGACACAGCUGGAUUCCAACCCAGGCUGAAGACCAGACCAGACCAGAGCCACUGCAGCCCCAGCAGAAGAGGCCCUUCCUCUGUGGCAGCCACAGAGGCUCAGACAGGACACAUGGCAGGCCCCCUGCUCCAGCCCCUGCUGCUCCUCCUGCUGUCCUUAGCCCUGGGAUCUGCUG